rnacentral:rRNA from 1 species
CACGUAGGGGGCAAGCGUUGUCCGGAUUUAUUGGGCGUAAAGAGCUCGUAGGCUGUUCGGUAAGUCGGGUGUGAAACCCCCAGGCUCAACCUGGGGACGCCACCUGAUACUGCUGUGACUCGGGUCCGGUAGGGGAGCGUGGAAUUCCUGGUGUAGCGGUGAAAUGCGCAGAUAUCAGGAGGAACACCAGCGGCGAAGGCGGCGCUCUGGGCCGGUACUGACGCUGAGGAGCGAAAGCGUGGGUAGCAAACAGG